rnacentral:rRNA from 1 species
GUAUGGUGCAAGCGUUAUCCGGAUUUACUGGGUGUAAAGGGAGCGUAGACGGAGUGGCAAGUCUGAUGUGAAAACCCGGGGCUCAACCCCGGGACUGCAUUGGAAACUGUCAAUCUAGAGUACCGGAGAGGUAAGCGGAAUUCCUAGUGUAGCGGUGAAAUGCGUAGAUAUUAGGAGGAACACCAGUGGCGAAGGCGGCUUACUGGACGGUAACUGACGUUGAGGCUCGAAAGCGUGGGGAGCAAACAGGAUUAGAUACCCUGGUAGUCCACGCCGUAAACGAUGACUACUAGGUGUCGGGCAGCAAAGCUGUUCGGUGCCGCAGCAAACGCAAUAAGUAGUCCACCUGGGGAGU